rnacentral:rRNA from 1 species
CCUACGGGGCGCAGCAGUGAGGAAUAUUGGUCAAUGGGCGCGAGCCUGAACCAGCCAAGUAGCGUGAAGGAUGACUGCCCUACGGGUUGUAAACUUCUUUUAUGAAGGAAUAAAGUUAGGCACGUGUGCCUUUUUGUAUGUACUUUAUGAAUAAGGAUCGGCUAACUCCGUGCCAGCAGCCGCGGUAAUACGGAGGAUCCGAGCGUUAUCCGGAUUUAUUGGGUUUAAAGGGAGCGUAGACGGGUUGUUAAGUCAGUUGUGAAAGUUUGCGGCUCAACCGUAAAAUUGCAAUUGAUACUGGCAGGCUUGAGUAUAGUAGAGGGAGGUGGAAUUCGUGGUGUAGCGGUGAAAUGCUUAGAGAUCACGAAGAAUUCCGAUUGCGAAGGCAGCCUACUAAACUGCGACUGACAUUGAUGUUCGAAAGUGUGGGUAUCAAACAGGAUUAGAUACCCUAGUAGUC